AGCCUAAUACACUAGAGUAGAAGUGAAAAACCUUAUCACUUUCCUUUUUUCCUUUUUCCUUUCACUUUCUCUCCUGUUUUAUUUCUUCUUUCUCUCUCUGCUCACCUGCUAAACCUAAUUCUGUUGAAGUCAAACGAAAUCUACCAAAAAUUCAGAAGCCAUCUUCCCUGAACUCUUAUUUCAUAGAUCAAAACCCAUCAUUUAGAAAUACGCUUAUCUCACUCACAAAGACUCUCCUUUGUCUAAGAAGAAGACGCUCUUCGAUUCGCCUGAGUUUUUGAUUUUGGAGUGAUGGAGCAGCAGCAUAAUAAGAACAUGGUUGAAGAAAACAUCCGAGAAGAAGAGAUUCUCCAUGGCCCCUUUUUCGGUUUAACAACUUCGGGCGGCUGGGGUAGCCUCAGUUGAUGUAAAGAAGCUUAAAGAUGCUGGUCUAUGCACGGUUGAAGCUGUUGCAUACUCUUCUCGGAACGAAUUACUUCUAAGCAAAGGAAUUAGUGAGAUCAUUAAAUUAAGCAGCGACGAAGCUGGUUCCGUUGGGUUUUACUAGUGUUAGUCAACUUCAUGCACAGAGGCAAUAAAUCAUUCAGAUAACAUCAGGAUCAAGAGAAUUUGGCAAGGAAGGACUGAGACUUAGGCUAUUACUCAAUUGUAUGGUGAAUUUCUCAAAAUCGUGAUUUUUAUUAUGUCCAGUGCGCACUCCUCGAACUGAUGUAAAGGAGUUCUUUUGGCAAGCCAGAACUGCAGGAGUACGUCUUUCUACAAGCAGUUCGGCGCAUUUCUUGUUAACAUCGAGGAGCUGAAUUCUCAAAAUCGAACUCGAGAGUUGAAGUUUCGUCAGAAUCUUAUGAUAGUUGCAUUGGAGGAGAUGGCUUUGAAACGCUUACAGCAGUCUUUGCCUGCUUUCCUAGUGAUCCCAUAUGUCCUUUUUCCUCUAGUGUUUGGUGGAUUGAGAUAAUGCAGCUUGCAUUUGGUUUCAUCCAACAUAUAAAUAAGGGAAUACACACCCUCAAUUCAUCACUGGGAAGUUUCUCGUUUGUUGUUUUGCAGUUUGCAGUUGUCUUUAUGAACUUCAAAACUUAGAUCUAAGUGACAUCCUAUCGGCAGAAUUUGGAGCAGCUUUUGCAGUGUGAGUGCACAAGAUUCUUCAGUAAACAAGACCUCGAGUAGGCACGCAAAAGCAAGUGCAUAUGUCCUCCGAGUUGGAGGCUGCCCUUUCUGCUAUUUUAUGCUAACGUGUCUACAUGUUCUGACUUCUGAUCACCAUGAAGUAAAGCCUGCAUACUGUGAAUAAGUCAGAUAGUUGUUGAAUUUUAAGUUGCAAGGGUGCAAGAUGAAUCUAAAGUGAUGACUGCAGAGAGUGGAACGUCACUUGGAAUGGCAUGAGGUCAUAGAGAAAAGCCUUACGAUUACAAGGCGAACAUUUUCAGUUUCACAAUUGUGUUGUAGGAGAUGCUAACUAGAAAGGUAAAAACUCUAGUAAAAUUUUGUUUGGAAACUGAACUUGGCGAAAAUUCUUAAGUAAAAUAUACACUUCACUUCAAAUAUACAGUCUUGACUAAUUUUUACCAUUUUCCCUGUAACAGGCAGCUUCUUUACGAGUUAUCAUACUUAUCAUGCCUACGGUUUUCACUGCCUAUAUAUGGUUUAUUUGUUCGUCUGAAUGAAGUCACUGUGUAAAUGUUGUUGCUGGUGUUGUCUUGAUGAUGGGUCUAUUAGACCACCUCCGUAUAUAUUAUUAUCCACUAGUCAUGUAAACCUAGCAUAUAAGGCUUGACUUUUUACUCUUCUUCUGAAUGUAGUUCGAUACCUUCAUGGAUGCCGUCACUCUCUUCCCGAUGGUCUCAUGAGGGUUGCUGAUGUCAUGGUUGAUGGUGAGAUCGUUGUUGCUGCUGGAUAAGGAAAUGUUGGAAAGGGUUGUGCUUCUAAAAGAUCUUCUCUCAAGCAAGCUGGUGCCAAGGUCCUAAUGACUGAAAUUGUGGUUGAAAUUUUUAGGACUUGUUGCAUCACUUCUCUUUAAGAAACCUUAAUAAUAGGGAAUUGAAUCCUUUUUUCUUAAUGAAUUGGACUAAAUUUAUGAGCACAGUUCAAUGUAAAUGGAGCUGUCAUUUGGUAUUAGAUGAUUCAGGUUUUAUUUGGAAUUUGAAUUUUAGUAUUUUAAUGUUAUUUUUCAUUUGAAUUUUGCUUGAAUUUGAGAAUUUUAGUAAUUUCAAUUGAAUUUGAA